rnacentral:miRNA from 1 species
UACUUGUACAAUGUCUUGAAACGU